AUGGGACUAAUCGGUGAGUCAAAUGAUAUUAGUUUCUACAUGUCAAUUAGUGAAAAAUUUGCAACAUCUCCAACAUUUGUAGUUCUUAUAUUUGAAAACUUUUGUUGUUUGCCUAUAUUUUAAAUUUGAAUUUGAAUCGUUUUGAACUAACGCGAGUUUAUCUACAGUAACCGAGAUGACGUGGCAUCAGUAGCAGAGGUUUACUGUAGCUUAAUUAUCCGGGCGUCACACCUCACCGCCCUCUAAGAGGAGAAACACGCGGCAGACGGUGGAAAAACGCCCUGUUAGCCGAAUGUCUGCCAAUCCGGUACCGAACUCGUCAACUAGGACGGGAGCUGAUGCAAUGCCAGUUCCACCGCCUCAUGAGGAUUCAGACGACGUAUCUGUCACGAAUUCCGAAGUGGAGAGCGCGAUGAAUCACCAUCUAUUGAAAGAGGGCAUGCGCGCUUCGGCCUUUUCCGAGUCAGAAUUUACUGCACUCAGUUCGGUAGAUGCAUACCUCUGAGCAGCUCGAGACGGACUUGCCGGAGUCAUUCAGUUGUUCUCAAAGGACAUACAGGUUCUUAAAGAAAAGAACACUGCGCUAGCCUAGGAGCUGAAAACCAACCAGACGCAGCUGAAUGCUGUCACCGCCGAACUGGUAGAAAUGAAAAAGAUCGCAGUGGGCGCGUCUGGGGAUAAAAAUCAUGAGGGGAAGAAAAACAAACAAUCCGAAGAGAUGGAGAGCUUAAGGGCUCAGUUAUCGGCCGCGCAGAAAGAAAAUGAAAAACUGAAGGGCGGCAUGUUCGGCCUGUUGACUGGUCGACCGGAGGAAGAA